CCUACGGGAGGCAGCAGUGAGGAAUAUUGGUCAAUGGGCUUACGCCUGAACCAGCCAAGUCGCGUGAGGGAAGACUGCCCUAUGGGUUGUAAACCUCUUUUGUCAGGGAGCAACGCCGGCUACGUGUAGCCGGACUGAGAGUACCUUAAGAAAAAGCAUCGGCCAACUCCGUGCCAGCAGCCGCGGUAAUACGGAGGAUGCGAGCGUUAUCCGGAUUUAUUGGGUUUAAAGGGUGCGUAGGCGGAAUGCCAAGUCAGCGGUAAAAUCGCGGGGCUCAACCUCGCUCCGCCGUUGAAACUGGCGUUCUUGAGUGGGCGAGAAGUAUGCGGAAUGCGUGGUGUAGCGGUGAAAUGCAUAGAUAUCACGCAGAACUCCGAUUGCGAAGGCAGCAUACCGGCGCCCGACUGACGCUGAGGCACGAAAGCGUGGGGAUCGAACAGGAUUAGAUACCCCAGUAGUC
rnacentral:rRNA from 1 species